GAUGAACGCUAGCUACAGGCUUAACACAUGCAAGUCGAGGGGUAGCAGGGUAGCAAUACCGCUGACGACCGGCGCACGGGUGAGUAAUACGUAUCCAACCUUCCCAUAACUCGGGGAUAGCCUUUCGAAAGAAAGAUUAAUACCCGAUAGUACUUUAUUAAGGCACCUUAAGAAAGUUAAAGAUUUAUUGGUUAUGGAUGGGGAUGCGUUCCAUUAGAUAGUUGGUGAGGUAACGGCUCACCAAGUCUUCGAUGGAUAGGGGUUCUGAGAGGAAGGUCCCCCACAUUUGUACUGAGACACGGACCAAACUCCUACGAGAGGCAGCAGUGAGGAAUAUUGGUCAAUGGGCGAGAGCCUGAACCAGCCAAGUAGCGUGAAGGAUGAAGGUCCUAUGGAUUGUAAACUUCUUUUAUAGUAGAAUAAAGUGAACCACGUGUGGUUUUUUGUAUGUAUACUAUGAAUAAGGAUCGGCUAACUCCGUGCCAGCAGCCGCUGUAACAC
rnacentral:rRNA from 1 species